rnacentral:lncRNA from 1 species
CCGAAAGAUAUAGUUGGACAAUUUUGGGCCAACAACAAUUUUGGGCCUUUGCUCCCAUAUUUUCAAGUCAGUUCAUCCCUCUGCACUUCUCCGACGAUCCACCACGAGAACUCGCGGCGAAGCGCCGGAAAAUGACGAAGUUCUUCGCGUUUGAGAAGAUGCACAGGCAUUCAGGUGAAAGAAUGUGGGAUCAACUUUCUAGGUGCACCUCGUCCAGGAGUGUCUAAAGAAUCCAUUUGAUGUAUAGUGGUAGAUGGUGCAAACGUUGGCCUCACUAAUCAGCCUAGUUAUGAUUUCUCCCAGAAAAAAAAUUCUUUGGUAGCCUUUUUUUGUAUCACCAAGAAAUUUAGCUGGGGCCAUCCCAAAUGACUAAUUGCAUGCAACCUUCAAGACUCGGGGAUAAUGGGCCAGCUGCUCUUCCAUUCUCCACUUUAAUACCAGGCUCGAUGCAGGUUUAUCUUGCAGUGACGAUAUGUUAGCAACAUUGUCCAUCUAGUCCAGAGUAAAUUCUUCUCCACAUUGAUCAAUCAUCAAUCCACGUGCUUAAGUGAAAUGACUUGAAGCUUGUUAAUUUGGCCUCAAAGCUGAAGUGGUUCAGGGAAAUUUAUAUGGUGCUUGGUUUUCUAAAUUUUCCAUUUUGGCUCCUUGUGUGUUUCUGUUUGUUUGUCUUUCUGACUGUGCCUUUUUGUUUACAAAGGGUUGAUUGAUCGAUCAAUAAUGCCUCAACUUUGCUGCAGGGGAAUAUCAUGGUAGUGUAUCUUUUAGUCGUAGAUUGUUAUUUUGAUUUUAUUUCAUGUUCACCACUUGAAAAGAUAAAAUGAAGUUAUGCCUGAUAACUGUUAUAGAGUUUGGAAGGAGGGGAUGGGUUUAGGAGAUUUACACAGGCUUCUGGUAGGAUAUGAAUUUAACAAAAGGAUAAACAACGUAACUAAGUUUGCAAUGUGAUCAUAUUUUUAUGGAGCUUAACUGAAACUUGAAAAAAAAUUAGUUAGAUUCUGAACCAUGGCUGUGUAAAACUAUUCGUCAGUAUGUUUGAGAUUAGUAAUUUCAGGGACAUAAGUUGCAUUCACUUUGUUAUUGGUAAUGGACUCGGUGAAUGUCUUGUGACUUGACUCUUAUGGGAUGUUUCCCCAACUCUUUCUGUGAGUUAGUCAACUUCAUUGCGUAUAUCAUGUAAAACCUUACAAUGAGGUUUGUAGCAAUUGUUUAGUUUAAGUCAUGUCAAUCCUUGCAAUUCAUAAAUAGUAUAACAACUUGACUAGACGAAAGAACCAUAAGCACUAACUAGAUGAAGGAAUGCUUAUGAGUCACUGCAGAUUCUGGCAUGAAUUAAUUUGUGAAGUGAGGCGUUAUUCUGAUGUGCAUAUUUUGCAUUACCUUCGUCACAGUUCAUGAAAACCUGACUUCCCGUGUUAAAUAACUAAAUAAGAAGUACCAAAAACAGCUUGAAUUAAACCAAAUUUGUUUCGAUUCUUUGAAAUAGACUGCGUAUUUACAACGACAACAAAGUAUCAUUGUGUAAAUCCUUAAAUAGGAUCUGGAGAGAGUAGUGUGUACGUGAACCUCUACCUUGGAAGGCAGAACGAUUAUUAGACCCUUGGGUUAAAGGAAAAAUAUAGAUAAAUUACACCACCGUGCAAAUGCCUUCUCUUCCCCUUUCCAGUUUAAGCUAAUAAAGCUGGUAUAAACCUCGAGAAAUGUUGGUUUAAACGUCUUACUGAAACAGUUUUGGGUAUAUUUCUGUUUUCAAUAAGCUUUGAAAGAUGUUUGGUUGCAACUUUAUUUGAUACUAAUUAUUGACAGCUAACAACUAAUAAAUAGCAAUUAACUUGUUGUAAUAGACUAAAUGAAUCCGAGCAUCUCACCAACUCCAAGUUUUUGGAAUGCCCCAAAUUCGACUCGAGUAUUGGUAUGAAAAAAAUAUCACAUUCCCAGUAAGUAUACCAUAUAUUUAAAUCCAUGCUUAAAAUAUAUUUCCGGAGAGUUUAAAGAAAUCGUUAAUAACUUGCAAUAAAGUAAAUUAGUGUCAUUAUCCCAUGAAUUAAAGCUAAGCGUGCGUAUAAUUCUACUUUCAACUUCCUUGGAAAUGCAAUGUACCCAAGUUUAACAUAUACUAAUCUAAGGUCAAAAGAAGUCACCCAUAAAGAAGGAGAGGAGUUAUAAUGAACAAAAGGAGGACAAAAUUUUACCACAAGUGGUAUCUCCACCAGGGUGGGCACAAUUAUACCUUUGAUGAAUGUGCCCAUUUUGAUAUGUUUACUAUAAACUAGUUAUAUUUGGUACUUUGGAUCUAACAAGCUAACUAGUGGUGUUUGACUCAAAAGGCUUGAUGCUUUGACCUUGGAAUUGAUAUAUGUGGGAUGCAUAUAUAUUAUAAGCAUAAUUAGCUAGCUUUACUCAAAAGCUAACCUUGGUCCCAUCAAUGAUUUCUUCUGUUAGUUUCUCUCUGCCAAAUUCAUCUAAGUUCAUCAUUUCCUACCUAUACUAUACAUUAAAAAAAGUAGUUAAAAAGAAAGGGUGUUAAGAAGGGAAGUUUGUUUUCAUAUACAAGUACAUAUUAUAUUUUUCCAAUCACUCUUUUUCUUUCUUCCAUUGAUGUCUUUAUCAGAUAAAAACAAACAACUUAAAGAACAAGUUGAGAUAGGGCCAUGAAGAGCAGCAUGUUUUUGUGCAAUCAUAAUGGCUUUCAAUUUGAUUAGGUCAUAUUCCCAAACCAAGCAAAGUUCCAAAGAAAGCAAAUUAUAUUGGUGAAACUCAUAACGUCAACAUAUUGAGAUCAUGGAGUUGCCUUUGCUCACAAGAAACUAAUAACUUGUUUUAAAAAGUCUAUACCUACACAUGCAAAGUGCAAACUCUACCACCAACAACCAACUUUGGACGAAUUCUCUAGGUUCAACCAAAUUCGUGCAAAAAAUAUUUAAACUAUAUGCAUUUGAUAAUUUUUGAAUUCUAGAUUUGUGCUCCGUGAACUCAGUGUUAAUUGGGGAAAUAUUUAAUAUAUAUACUUUACAACUAGAAUAGAAAUAAAUCACUGGAUCCAACAUCUGUUGGGGGUUGGUUGGAGUUUGUUUGCUUGUUGAUCUCUCUUUAUGUCAAAACAUGUGCAGUUGUUUGCAAAUGCAGUCUUGUAUUGUAUGGGUGAGAUGAUUAGAAAUGUUCAGUGCUUACGAGCUAAUUAAGCAAUGAAAUCAUUUAAUUAUAUGUACUUCUCAAUGGGGUUUGGGUCUUAAUUUCUCUGGGAUUUUGAUAAGCACUAAUGAAUAGGUACACGUGGUGACGAGGACAUAACCUUUAAUUAUGCUGAUAUGAACAAUUAUUUUUUUUUCUCAAUAAGACAAAUUAACAACCGUGCAGUCUCAAUCUUUGAAUUUAAUUUCUCUAGUUUUAUCUACUUUUUAAUCUAAUGGAAAUUAACAUAUAUUAGUGGAUAUUGCUCCUUUAGACCUUGAAUCCAACUUUAUUUACAUAUAUAUCUACAUAAUAAAUUUUAUUCUCUUUUUCACUAGUAUGAAAAUAAAUAAAAUGGCCCCAUGAAUUUGCUUUAUGCUACACUUUUAGAGAUUUAAGUCAAACAUGAAAAGAAUUACAGAGACAUUGAAAUCUUUUAUUCACAAGAUUAGGCUUUAAUGUUUGGUUAACAUGUAACAGGAAAACGCUCAUCACGUUUUAACAGUAAUUAGGACCUUAAAAAGCACUUAAAAAGAGUAAUUACUCUUUAGAAUCCUUAAAAGUUAAAAAGUAAACUUUGAAUUCUAAGAUUAGUUUCCCAUUUCACAUUUCACAAUCACAAAAAAGUACUUUAUUUAUAUUUUGACAAUUGAAUUUGAGCCCUCUCGUCCUUUCAAUUGACAAUCAAAAAGAUUAAAAAAAGAGUCAGUCUAUUGCAAAUUGGAAGGAAUAGAAACUUUGCUUAUUCUAGAGUCAAGAGUAGAAUCUUAAUUAAUUGUUGUAAUAGGUUGAUUAUCUAUUUUAUAUUGAGAUAAUCAACUAAUAAUCUUUUCAUUACUAUUUUAUGAUAAACAUUUUUGCUCGAAUGGUAGAAAGCAUUUUAAUUUUUCAUAUUAAAAUAUUAUUAUUUCAUCUUCAUCAUAAUCAUUGGUAUAUUUCAAUGAGAAACUUUAACGGAAAAAAGUAAUAUUUGUAUUUAAUAUUUUAUUUCAUAAAAAUAGAGAAAAAAAUUUUAAAUCUAAUUUUAGUGAGUUUUAAAUCGAAUAUAUUAUUAAAAUAAUAAAUAAUAAAAUAGGAUGAGAAGAGUAAUCACCUUGUAGUGGGAAUUAGUAGCUAGCCACUUCCUUUGUUUCACUUUUCU